rnacentral:rRNA from 1 species
AUUACCGCGGCUGCUGGCACGAAGUUAGCCGAUGCUUAUUCUUACCAUACUAUCAGCUACUCACACGUGAGUAGGUUUUCUCUGGUACAAAAGCAGUUUACAACCCAUAGGGCCGUCAUCCUGCACGCGGCAUGGCUGGUUCAGAGUUGCCUCCAUUGACCAAUAUUCCUCACUGCUGCCUCCCGUAGGGGCCGUCAUCCUGCACGCGGCAUGGCUGGUUCAGAGUUGCCUCCAUUGACCAAUAUUCCUUACUGCUGCCUCCCGUAGG